UUGACCUCGGAUCAGGUAGGGAUACCCGCUGAACUUAAGCAUAUCAAUAAGCGGAGGAAAAGAAACCAACAGGGAUUACCUCAGUAACGGCGAGUGAAGCGG
rnacentral:rRNA from 1 species